rnacentral:misc_RNA from 1 species
GGUACUAUGAUCAUAUUGCGGAGGUGAGUUCUAACGGGUUCUGGCUUCUCACCCGGUGGAGCCUCACGUUUCGCUUUUCGCAGCUUCUUGAUCAGUGCCAUUGGCUUCCUUGUCAGACCCCUCCGGAACCUUCUGCGAGCCCUGGCAGUGAAGAGCUUGACAAGCUCGUCGGUGGACAUGUCGAGGAGAGCAUCCAAAUCGACUCCACGAAAACUGAACUUCUUGAAAGUCCUCUUCUUCGGCACUCCUGCCGCCGCCGCCGCCACAUCGGGAUUAUCGUCCGCCAUGGUUGGAGUUCAGAAAUUAGAAGAUGCCGUAGGCAGAGUGCAAAUGGCGAUUCUGGCUGC